AUCGAGCUGACGAGUCCCAAAUAGGACGAAACGCGCGUCCUGGAU
rfam:Schistosoma haematobium scaffold256_3, whole genome shotgun sequence.